ACAGACCAAUAGAAAAUCAACAGCUAUUUUACCCUAUGUAAUCUCUGAAGCAGGACCACGCUAUUUGGGUACCAUGGCAACUCUCCUGAGAAAACUGUUUCCACAGAUUUGGAACCCAUGGAUACAGAGAGUUGACUGAAUUUAAGAGAACCACAAGAGCUAUAAACAGCAACUUUCUUCUUCUUAGAAGAAAUAUUCUGAAGAAACUAGAACAUGAAACAGACCCAGAAGUGUGAGCAUCUAAUUCAGUAACUACAAUUAAAAGGCUAUUUUCUCAUUUUAAAAAAGUGGCAUGUUGAUCUAGAAUAGUUGUUCUUAGUUUUGUGGGAUCAAGGAUAACUAAGAAUCUACUGGAAACUAGGGGUUCUUCUGCCCAGGAAAUGAUUCACCAUUUCAAUGGUAACCAGAAACAGCAGUACAAAAUAUGUGGGAAACCGAAGACAAUGCAACAUGAAAAAACAAACAAAACGGAAUGUAAUCCGAAAACAAUUACUGAAUAGAUGAAUGCCAUGUUUUCCUUGCAAAGUAAUGAGAUUUGAUGUUUACUCAUGUGGAUAAUCCAGCACUACACAGACACAAACCCACCAGGCAGUAUGAAAGUAAAUGUCACUGUUGAAGAGGAGGUCUGGGGUGCUUUUGCAAAGCUGGUGAUCUUCUGCCCGGGUCCAGGAAGCCUCCAGGGUGGUCUCCCCGGUGGUCACAGCCUCCGAUUGCAUCCCUGGCAUUUGUCAUCAUCCUUUUUCUGAUCCUGAUGUGGGCUUUGCAGGAACCUGACCAAGAAGUUGCCAUCCCUCCAUCGUUCUCACAGCUCCUUUCUCUCUGUGAUUCGAAAUGAGUCUAGCAACUCCUCCAUCCUACAGUGCCCCAGCUCCCAAGUGAACUUUUAGCAGCAGCAAGAGUGACGGCAGCAGCAAGAGUGACAGCAGCAGCAGGAACUCAUAGGAACCCAGAACACUGAAAGAGGCAGAUCUCUGAUCAGAGUCACUGUGGUCCCAGGAGGAUGAGGUGAAACCAUCCUGCCUUUCUCUUUUUUCUGACAAAUGCUUACCCCCGUCACCUCCACCCUCCCCCAAGGUAAAGGCAUUUGACAUGGAUAAGUUCUGAGUUAGUCAAACACAACAGCCUUGCAAAUGGUCUUCCAGGGACUCACAAGAGAGAUCAAAUAAUAAUUCUCUGGAAUCAAGGCUUUGAACAAGCUGGAGUUGAGUUCUGCCCCCCUGCACUGCUUCCAGGCUGCUAGUUUUCACCAUAGCUGUUGGCAAUUCGUUUUUGAGGCUCCUGUUAAAACUGAAAGCAAGAGAUGGAACUUGAGGUACUGAAAGCACGACCGAUGCUCACUGGUUUUCUCCUGCUGCCAUCACUUUUCUUGAUUAAAUACUCUCUAGAUUGUUGCAAGACUUUAGUUAACUUCUAAAGUUCUGAUAAAAUCAAC
ensembl:lncRNA